GUGUAUGUGUAUGAGAAGCCAUUAGAGGCAAAGAAUAAGGUCUUGAGCUAGUUGAAUAAGAGGUCUGAUGAAACUAGUAUGAACUUGAAUCAGAAACAAAGAGACUUAGAGAGAUUAAGAGAUUAGAGACUAAGAAAGGGGUAGAUUAAGAGAAUCUGAUCAAGAACACACUUUUAUAUUUAUGAAGGAGAUGGGGAAAACCCCCAUACUCUCUUAGAGCUUACAAAACGUCCAUACAUCAGUUUAUAUAUGUUUUCACACUCUGAAACUCAUAAACCUAAAUCUGAUGGCUCUAAAUGACUUUGGGAAAUGGAUGGCUUGGAUGUAGCUUUGGAUCUGGUCAAGGUAGACUAAAUGGUGAUUGGUUCUCCCUUGCUGGCGCCUGAUUGCUUUACUUAAAGCUCCAUGUAUCUUCCCUCUCCUUUGGCCAGAUACAUGAUCUCUUCCUUGCCUUUACUUUACAGCUCACGCCAGCUUGCACAUUUGAAUUUGAACAAGCUGUAUGGAUAAGGUUUCUUAUCCAUAAACGGUCAAGAGAGCUCAGCACCUUCCUGGUUACUUCCUAAAGCAUCUCGGACAGUAUAUGCCUUUAGGAUCUUUGCUCUCUUGCCCACUUGUUCCCCAAACCUUCUUCAUGCCUUGUAUCACAAGUCUUCAUCAGCUGAGUGUACGGAUUAGGGUUGCUUCUCUCACAUUGCGCCCUAUCUUUGCACAACUCCAAAACAUCCCAAAACUUGAUAGAAACUCUUUUGGAUCAGCCAUGUCCUUCCCCGGCCGUACCAUCUGUACAUGGCCGUACAUGGCUGUCCCUAUCUUUGCACCAUCUACCUUUCUCUCCUUAACUCAUCCAAAGACUACUCCACUUCUAUCUGAACUCUUCUUAGCCAUUGUCCCAACCUUAUAUCAGCUUCUCAUCACUUCUGAAGCUUCAUAGAACUCUUCUUAAGAUCUUCAAGAGCUUGUCCCUAUUUAUGCACAAGCUCCAUUCUUCUCUUCAGUUCAACACUCCCCCUCAAGCUUGACUUUAGUUGAUCCUAAGUCAAGCUUGGAACCCUGAAGAACUUCCUCAUUAAAAACCUCACCAAGGAAAACCCUUUGGGACAAAACCUUGAUGAGGGAAAAAGAGUAAAGUCUCCAAGGCCUAGGGAUUGGCCAGUGAGUCUUUGUGCCUUACCAACAAUGUAAGGGACACAAAGACUCUGGAUCAUGGCCUCUACAAUCACCCCACGCCUUGUACUCUCCUUACUGCCUAAUCUUGGUCUCUC
rnacentral:lncRNA from 1 species